CCUACGGGAUGCAGCAGUGAGGAAUAUUGGUCAAUGGGCGUAAGCCUGAACCAGCCAAGUCGCGUGAGGGAUGAAGGUUCUAUGGAUCGUAAACCUCUUUUAUAAGGGAAUAAAGUGUGGGACGUGUCCUGUUUUGUAUGUACCUUAUGAAUAAGGAUCGGCUAACUCCGUGCCAGCAGCCGCGGUAAUACGGAGGAUCCGAGCGUUAUCCGGAUUUAUUGGGUUUAAAGGGUGCGUAGGCGGCCUUUUAAGUCAGCGGUGAAAGUCUGUGGCUCAACCAUAGAAUUGCCGUUGAAACUGGGAGGCUUGAGUAUGUUUGAGGCAGGCGGAAUGCUUGGUGUAGCGGUGAAAUGCUUAGAUAUCACGCAGAACCCCGAUUGCGAAGGCAGCCUGCCAAGCCAUGACUGACGCUGAUGCACGAAAGCGUGGGGAUCAAACAGGAUUAGAUACCCCAGUAGUC
rnacentral:rRNA from 1 species